rnacentral:rRNA from 1 species
GACGAACGCUGGCGGCGUGCUUAACACAUGCAAGUCGAACGGAAAGGCCCUGCUUUUGUGGGGUGCUCGAGUGGCGAACGGGUGAGUAACACGUGAGUAACCUGCCCUUGACUUUGGGAUAACUCCAGGAAACUGGGGCUAAUACCGGAUAGGAGCUCCUGCUGCAUGGUGGGGGUUGGAAAGUUUCGGCGGUUCGGGAUGGACUCGCGGCUUAUCAGCUUGUUGGUGGGGUAGUGGCUUACCAAGGCUUUGACGGGUAGCCGGCCUGAGAGGGUGACCGGCCACAUUGGGACUGAGAUACGGCCCAGACUCCUACGGGAGGCAGCAGUGGGGAAUAUUGCACAAUGGGCGGAAGCCUGAUGCAGCAACGCCGCGUGCGGGAUGACGGCCUUCGGGUUGUAAACCGCUUUCGCCUGUGACGAAGCGUGAGUGACGGUAAUGGGUAAAGAAGCACCGGCUAACUACGUG